rnacentral:lncRNA from 1 species
AUAUAAUUAUCCAUACACAACUAGGUAAAUUAUUCUUAAUAUGAAUACAAAAUCAUAGCUCAUUCUUUAUAGAACCGGUAAACUAGUGCCAUACUGCACAAAAAAGUAAACCACUGUGUUCCAAGUCCACGUGCUCUGUUCAUUAGAAGUGUUUUUAUUGUAGCAUGUGGACGGUCAUUCCGCUCUAUGACCGGUAGGGGGCAGCAAGGUACUGUUUAUUAUAAAGCCUAGAUUAAGACUUUACUACUCUGAUAAACAGGACUAUUUACACUGACUGUAAUGGCAAUGGCUCUGUGAUUGCAAACUGUACCAUCGUGUUCCAGACUGUGUAUAUAAACGCUGUUUUGGUCAAGAGUCUUUUCGGCUUUAAACUCCCAGCCAACAACAUGAUCAAUGGCCUUAACAUCAGCCGUGAAUACACACAAGGUAAGUGUCAACUGGGUGAACUACUAUAGGAAAAAAAAAAUCUUGUAACAUCACAAAUAAUAAAAUAAUAACACCAAUCUUUCCACAGAUAAGGUCACACCUGUACCAGCUGCAGUACCAACCACCACCACACCUCUCCCGACCACAACCCGUACCACCAGACCAGCAACCACAACAACCACCCAAAAUACAACCACAGCGACUUCAAAACCCCCCAACAACACCACAACCUCUUCAGCUCCAUCCAGCACAACCACAGCCCACCCUAACACCACCACAACCACACAGCCUGCAUCAAACUCCAUCACCAGUCCCACAAUACCCAACAAUACCACAAAACCCUUUUCCAACACAACCACAAGCCACACAUCAAUCACCAGCCCCAGCACACCCAACAACACUUCCAAAACUACUAUCACCAGUUCCAGCACACUCAGGAAUACCACCACCCCCACACCCACCUCCAACUCCACAUUCAACUCCACUACUAAAACCAGAAAAACCGAAGCCGUUAGAAUUCCCACCACCGCUUCUCCAGUGAGUCCAGGUGGGGCUUACUACUAUAGAGGAGUCCCAGGCUGGGCCAUUGCUUUACUUGUACUGGCCUGCAUCAUCCUCCUGCUCCUCAUCAUCCUCCUCAUCAUCACGCUCAUCCGAUGUUGCUGUUGGGAUCCAGAGAGAGACCCAGAGCCAGAACCUUUACCCCCACUACCAGAGCAGCACACACCUUAUGAGAGAAAAACUUUCAAAGAACCACUUUCUACCCCCAGCUACAGCCCCCAGACCCCACAAAAGAGCCCCAUCCCCGCAUCUCCAUAUGAGGAUCCAACAAAGCCUAGAGUGAACCGAACAGGGAUGUAUGUGGUGAACCCAGAGAGCUGAUGAAGAACAGCAGCACCACAUGGUGAGAGAUUCCUGUGGAUUGUAAAAACAUUGUGGAUGCCCGUUACUCUUUGACACAUCCUUCCAAACACCACUGCCCCAGGGCAAUGAAAAAGGGACUUCACGUGGAACUGUGAGAAAAAACGUGCAAACCCUUUGGAGCUAUAUGGAGUUCUGCAGCAAUGAUUCCUAAAAUGUAACCUGAUUUUUUUUUGUUAACCAAACACUUGUGUAUUUAAAUUGUGUAAUUAGUCAAGGCUAUUGAUGGAAAAGUAUUUAAACUUAUUUUUUUUAAUUAACCAAUUGUUCUCCAUAGUCUCUGCAGAAAUGUCUAAUGCUCUAAUAUUUUACUCUGUAACACUACCUCCACCAUGUUUCACGGCUUAGUGUGCAGGAUUUAUUUUUUCAUAUGUAACAGUAAACAAUUAGCACAAGUUCAACUUCUGUUUAAUCCAUAUGAAGAACACUGUCCCUGAUAAGCAUCCAGGUAAUUCUUAGUAAACUUAGUAAAAAUACUCUUCUGAAAUUGUUUAGCUGUUGGAAAUGUCUAUUUAUGCGACAGAUCAUUUAAAACACACUUGAAUUAAUCUGGAUACUCAGUUUGAUUUGUAUUUUCAAUCUGUGAAAUGCGACUGCAAUUACUUUUGGUGAAGAUCAGAUUUUAGGAGUCAUUUAUGCAGCAAUGGAAAGAGGUUUGAGUUUGAUGUGUAAGUUUUGUAUUAUUAAAAGAUGGUUUAUACUAUUUAUUACUAAAGUAUUUGAUACGUGAAAACAUCCAAAAACAUUUUAUCCCAAUUGUGAACACUGAUUCCAAAUAAUCAAAUCACGUAAAUUAAUUGAGCCCAUUAAAGUCACAUGACUUCUUCUGUAAAUGUGUUUAGGUUAAAAUUAAAGACAAAACUUGUUUGGACCUGCUAAUGUAUGAAAUUUUAUUAAAGUAUUUAAAUUAAUAUUAAACGUGUUGGACAUGAAGGACAAAGUGCUGUAAGGAACUUCCCACAUGUUUUAAACAGGGUACACUGACAUUUA